rnacentral:tRNA from 1 species
GCCGCCUUAGCUCAGCUGGUAGAGCAACGCUUUCGUAAAGCGGAGGUCCCCAGUUCGAUUCUGGGAGGCGGCU